rnacentral:piRNA from 1 species
UGACCCGAAGAGGUGUCUUGAUGAUGUAGU